rnacentral:rRNA from 1 species
UACGGAGGGUGCAACCGUUGUUCGGAUUCAUUGGGCGUAAAGGGUGCGUAGGCGGCGGGGUAAGUCAGGUGUGAAAUCUCGGGGCUCAACCCCGAAACUGCACUUGAUACUGCCUCGCUUGAGUACUGGAGAGGAGACUGGAAUUUACGGUGUAGCAGUGAAAUGCGUAGAUAUCGUAAGGAAGACCAGUGGCGAAGGCGAGUCUCUGGACAGUUACUGACGCUGAGGCACGAAGGCCAGGGGAGCAAACGGG